GGGGUUGUGGCGCAGUGGUAGCGCGUUCGCUUUGCAAUCGUAAUUUGCGAAAGGCCUAGGGUUCGAUCCCCUACUGCUCCA